AUGGUUAAGUUAGAAAGGGCGCACGGUGGAUGCCUUGGCACUAGGAGCCGAAGAAGGACGGGACUAACACCGAUAUGCUUUGGGGAGCUGUACGUAAGCGUUGAUCCAGAGAUUUCCGAAUGGGGGAACCCACUAUCUUUAGUCGGAUAGUAUCCUUACGUGAAUACAUAGCGUAAGGAAGGCAGACCCAGGGAACUGAAACAUCUAAGUACCUGGAGGAAGAGAAAGAAAAAUCGAUUUCCUGAGUAGCGGCGAGCGAAACGGAAAGAGCCCAAACCAAGAAGCUUGCUUCUUGGGGUUGUAGGACACUCUAUACGGAGUUACAAAGGAAUGUGGUAAACGAAGUGGUCUGGAAAGGCCCGCCAAAGAAGGUAACAGCCCUGUAAUUGAAAGCAUAUUCCCUCCAGAGUGGAUCCUGAGUACGGCGGAACACGUGAAAUUCCGUCGGAAUCCGGGAGGACCAUCUCCCAAGGCUAAAUACUCCCUAGUGACCGAUAGUGAACCAGUACCGUGAGGGAAAGGUGAAAAGCACCCCGGAAGGGGAGUGAAACAGUUCCUGAAACCGUGUGCCUACAAGUAGUUAGAGCCCGUUAAUGGGUGAUAGCGUGCCUUUUGUAGAAUGAACCGGCGAGUUACGAUUUGUUGCAAGGUUAAGCGGAAAAAGCGGAGCCGUAGCGAAAGCGAGUCUGAAUAGGGCGCAUGAGUAACAGGUCGUAGACCCGAAACCAGGUGAUCUACCCAUGUCCAGGAUGAAGGUGAGGUAAUACUCACUGGAGGUCCGAACCCACGCACGUUGAAAAGUGCGGGGAUGAGGUGUGGGUAGCGGAGAAAUUCCAAUCGAACCUGGAGAUAGCUGGUUCUCUCCGAAAUAGCUUUAGGGCUAGCCUCGAGGUAAAGAGUCGUGGAGGUAGAGCACUGUUUGGACUAGGGGCCCUUCUCGGGUUACCGAAUUCAGAUAAACUCCGAAUGCCAUGUACUUAUACUCGGGAGUCAGACUGCGAGUGAUAAGAUCCGUAGUCGAAAGGGAAACAGCCCAGACCACCAGUUAAGGUCCCAAAAUAUAUGUUAAGUGGAAAAGGAUGUGGGGUUGCAUAGACAACCAGGAUGUUGGCUUAGAAGCAGCCACCAUUGAAAGAGUGCGUAAUAGCUCACUGGUCGAGUGACCCCGCGCCGAAAAUGUACCGGGGCUAAACAUAUUACCGAAACUGUGGAUGAACCUCUUAGGAGGUUCGUGGUAGGAGAGCGUUCUAAGGGCGGUGAAGUCAGACCGGAAGGACUGGUGGAGCGCUUAGAAGUGAGAAUGCCGGUAUGAGUAGCGAAAGAAGGGUGAGAAUCCCUUCCACCGAAUAUCUAAGGUUUCCUGAGGAAGGCUCGUCCGCUCAGGGUUAGUCGGGACCUAAGCUGAGGCCGAUAGGCGUAGGCGAUGGACAACAGGUAGAUAUUCCUGUACCAGUGCUAGUUGUUUGAGCAAUGGGGUGACACAGAAGGAUAGGGAAUCGCACAGAUGGAAACGUGCGUCCAAGCAGUGAGUGUGAGAAGUAGGCAAAUCCGCUUCUCGCGAAGCAUGAGCUGUGAUGGGGAAGGAAAUUAAGUACGGAAGUUCCUGAUUUCACGCUGUCAAGAAAAGCCUCUAGUUAGAUUAGUACUGCCCGUACCGCAAACCGACACAGGUAGAUGAGGAGAGAAUCCUAAGGUGAGCGAGAGAACUCUCGUUAAGGAACUCGGCAAAAUGACCCCGUAACUUCGGGAGAAGGGGUGCUCUAUUAGGGUGAAAGCCCGAGAGAGCCGCAGUGAAUAGGCCCAGGCGACUGUUUAGCAAAAACACAGGUCUCUGCAAAACCGUAAGGUGACGUAUAGGGGCUGACGCCUGCCCGGUGCUGGAAGGUUAAGAGGAGUGCUUAGCGCAAGCGAAGGUACGAAUUGAAGCCCCAGUAAACGGCGGCCGUAACUAUAACGGUCCUAAGGUAGCGAAAUUCCUUGUCGGGUAAGUUCCGACCCGCACGAAAGGCGCAACGAUCUGGGCACUGUCUCAACGAGAGACUCGGUGAAAUUAUAGUACCUGUGAAGAUGCAGGUUACCCGCGACAGGACGGAAAGACCCCGUGGAGCUUUACUGCAACCUGAUAUGGAAUGUUUGUACCGCUUGUACAGGAUAGGUAGGAGCCGAAGAGACGUGAGCGC
rnacentral:rRNA from 1 species